rnacentral:rRNA from 1 species
AUACGGAGGAUGCGAGCGUUAUCCGGAUUUAUUGGGUUUAAAGGGAGCGUAGGUGGGAUAUUAAGUCAGCUGUGAAAGUUUGGGGCUCAACCUUAAAAUUGCAGUUGAUACUGGUUUCCUUGAGUACGGUACAGGUGGGCGGAAUUCGUGGUGUAUCGGUGAAAUGCUUAGAUAUCACGAAGAACUCCGAUCGAGAAGGCAGCUCACCGGGCCGGAACUGACACUGAUGCUCGAAAGUGCGGGUAUCAAACAGGAUUAGAUACCCUGGUAGUCCGCACAGUAAACGAUGAAUACUCGCUGUUUGCGAUACACGGUAAGCGGCCAAGCGAAAGCGUUAAGUAUUCCACCUGGGGAGUACGCCGGCAACGGUGAAACUCAAAUGAAUUGACGGG